rnacentral:rRNA from 1 species
AUGAACGCUAGCUACAGGCUUAACACAUGCAAGUCGAGGGGCAGCAUGGUCUUAGCUUGCUAAGGCCGAUGGCGACCGGCGCACGGGUGAGUAACACGUAUCCAACCUGCCGUCUACUCUUGGACAGCCUUCUGAAAGGAAGAUUAAUACAAGAUGGCAUCAUGAGUCCACAUGUUCACAUGAUUAAAGGUAUUCCGGUAGACGAUGGGGAUGCGUUCCAUUAGAUAGUAGGCGGGGUAACGGCCCACCUAGUCUUCGAUGGAUAGGGGUUCUGAGAGGAAGGUCCCCCACAUUGGAACUGAGACACGGUCCAAACUCCUACGGGAGGCAGCAGUGAGGAAUAUUGGUCAAUGGGCGAGAGCCUGAACCAGCCAAGUAGCGUGAAGGAUGACUGCCCUAUGGGUUGUAAACUUCUUUUAUAAAGGAAUAAAGUCGGGUAUGCAUACCCGUUUGCAUGUACUUUAUGAAUAAGGAUCGGCUAACUCCGUGCCAGCAGCCGCGGUAAUACGGAGGAUCCGAGCGUUAUCCGGAUUUAUUGGGUUUAAAGGGAGCGUAGAUGGAUGUUUAAGUCAGUUGUGAAAGUUUGCGGCUCAACCGUAAAAUUGCAGUUGAUACUGGAUAUCUUGAGUGCAGUUGAGGCAGGCGGAAUUCGUGGUGUAGCGGUGAAAUGCUUAGAUAUCACGAAGAACUCCGAUUGCGAAGGCAGCCUGCUAAGCUGCAACUGGCAUUGAGGCUCGAAAGUGUGGGUAUCAAACAGGAUUAGAUACCCUGGUAGUCCACACGGUAAACGAUGAAUACUCGCUGUUUGCGAUAUACUGCAAGCGGCCAAGCGAAAGCGUUAAGUAUUCCACCUGGGGAGUACGCCGGCAACGGUGAAACUCAAAGGAAUUGACGGGGGCCCGCACAAGCGGAGGAACAUGUGGUUUAAUUCGAUGAUACGCGAGGAACCUUACCCGGGCUUAAAUUGCAGAUGAAUUACGGUGAAAGCCGUAAGCCGCAAGGCAUCUGUGAAGGUGCUGCAUGGUUGUCGUCAGCUCGUGCCGUGAGGUGUCGGCUUAAGUGCCAUAACGAGCGCAACCCUUGUUGUCAGUUACUAACAGGUUCUGCUGAGGACUCUGACAAGACUGCCAUCGUAAGAUGUGAGGAAGGUGGGGAUGACGUCAAAUCAGCACGGCCCUUACGUCCGGGGCUACACACGUGUUACAAUGGGGGGUACAGAGGGCCGCUACCACGCGAGUGGAUGCCAAUCCCAAAAACCUCUCUCAGUUCGGACUGGAGUCUGCAACCCGACUCCACGAAGCUGGAUUCGCUAGUAAUCGCGCAUCAGCCACGGCGCGGUGAAUACGUUCCCGGGCCUUGUACACACCGCCCGUCAAGCCAUGGGAGCCGGGGGUACCUGAAGUGCGUAACCGCGAGGAGCGCCCUAGGGUAAAACUGGUGACUGGGGCU